GUUAUCACGCCUGCCUGUCACGCAGGAGAUCACCGGUUCAAAUCCGGUUAGGACCG
rnacentral:tRNA from 1 species